AGUGUGCUGAUGUGUGGAACAAGCUGCCAGAGGUGGUAAUGGUGGCACCAGGUACAAUUACUGUUUAAGAUGCAUUAAAGAUAGACACAGACAUUGAGACAGACAUAGGCAAGGUUUAGAAGGAAAAGAUCUCUGGCAAAUGGGAUUAGGGUAGGUGGGGCAAAAAAGGUCAGCAUGAGCAAAGGGCCUAUUUCUAAGCUGCUCUGACUCCAAAUUGUACUGGUAUUCUUCAGUUCCUAUUCAACACCGAUGUUCAACUGUGAUGUUUUG